rnacentral:rRNA from 1 species
GAUGAACGCUGGCGGCGUGCCUAAUACAUGCGAGUCGAGCGAACGGACGAGAAGCUUGCUUCUCUGAUGUUAGCGGCGGACGGGUGAGUAACACGUGGAUAACCUACCUAUAAGACUGGGAUAACUUCGGGAAACCGGAGUUAAUACCGGAUAAUAUUUUGAACCGCAUGGUUCAAAAGUGAAAGACGGUCUUGCUGUCACUUAUAGAUGGAUCCGCGCUGCAUUAGCUAGUUGGUAAGGUAACGGCUUACCAAGGCAACGAUGCAUAGCCGACCUGAGAGGGUGAUCGGCCACACUGGAACUGAGACACGGUCCAGACUCCUACGGGAGGCAGCAGUAGGGAAUCUUCCGCAAUGGGCGAAAGCCUGACGGAGCAACGCCGCGUGAGUGAUGAAGGUCUUCGGAUCGUAAAACUCUGUUAUUAGGGAAGAACAUAUGUGUAAGUAACUGUGCACAUCUUGACGGUACCUAAUCAGAAAGCCACGGCUAACUACGUG